rnacentral:rRNA from 1 species
GAUGAACGCUGGCGGCGUGCCUAACACAUGCCAGUCGAGCGGCAGCGAGGGGUGCUUGCACCCGGUCGGCGAGCGGCGGACGGCUGAGUAACGCGUGAGGACGUGCCCCAAAUUGAGGAAUAACUGCCCGAAAGGGUAGCUAAUACCGCAUAUUAUCUUCGGGUAAAAGGAUUUAUCCGCUUUGGGAGCUGCUCGCCUCGGAUUAGGUAGUUGGUGAGGUAAUGGCACACCAAGCCGACGAUCCGUAGCUGGUCUGAGAGGAUGACCAGUCAGACUGGAACUGAGACACGGUCCAGACGCCUCCGGGAGGAAGCAGUGAGGAAUCUUCCACAAUGGGAGAAAGCCUGAUGGAGCCACGCCGCGUGCAGGAAGAAGGCCUUCGGGUUGUAAACUGCUUUUAUACGUAAGGAAUAUGACGGUAACUUAUGAAUAAGGAUCGGCUAAAUACGUG